rnacentral:rRNA from 1 species
CUCCUACGGGAGGCAGCAGUAGGGAAUCUUCCGCAAUGGACGAAAGUCUGACGGAGCAACGCCGCGUGAGUGAUGAAGGUUUUCGGAUCGUAAAGCUCUGUUGUUAGGGAAGAACAAGUGCGAGAGUAACUGCUCGCACCUUGACGGUACCUAACCAGAAAGCCACGGCUAACUACGUGCCAGCAGCCGCGGUAAU